UUUUUUGCACGAACACACACACACAUUCUUAUAUUUGAACUUCUUUCUCUAUCUCUUAUGUGCAAGAAAAGAGAAAAAUAAAAACCAUCCAUUUUUGCACGAACACACACAUACACACACAUUUUUAUAUUUAAACCUCUUUCUUUUUCUCUUAUGUGCAAACAAAGAGAAAAAUAAAAACCAUCCAUUUUUUGCAUGAAAACACACACACACACACAAACGUACAGACAGAGAACGCAAGCACACACACGGAGUGGAAGGCUGGUGGUUGUUGUGGCCGAACUUCACUAUAUACAUAUGGCCUUUUCUUUAAAUGGACUGAAUAGAUCCCGUCCUUCAUAUGGUAUUUUUAUGCGACCCAGGCGUUCGCGGCGACGCGUGGAGGAGCUGGUUGUGCGACCCAGGCGACGAGGUUGUGAGAGUAGGUGGCGGCGCGACGAGGAAGGUGGGUGACGGUGCCAUUAUGAAGGGAGGCCAUCGCGACGGCGGGAUCCGGGGAUUGCGGCAGAUAGAUGGAUCCGACGGCGGGGUAGGGUGGUGGUAGAAGCAGGUGCAAGGUGACUGCUGCGGUUGAAGCAGGUGAGGGGCGACAGUGGCGUGGGCUGCUGGUCGGCGACGAGGCGCAUCACCGGGGCUAGGGCCGCCGCCAGUGACGACAGAGACGGGUUGGGGAGCAUCCGCGUAGGGUAGUUGCGGGAGGGUGGCAAGCCGGUGGAGGUGGGGCGCGAUUGGUGAUAAGGCCGCCGAUGGCGCGUUUAGUGGCACGGGCCAACGGCGGCGGCACGAUGUAGAGGAGAAUGCCAAUGGGAUCGGGGGAGAUUUUAGGAGCGGGUUCGUGGGGAAACUGGUGGGGUGGGAUUUUUUUUCUUC
rnacentral:lncRNA from 1 species